rnacentral:rRNA from 1 species
AAGACAUCUGAGUGCUUGCACUUGGAUGGACUGAGUGGCGGACGGGUGAGUAACGCGUGGGUAACCUGCCUUAUACAGGGGGAUAACAGUUGGAAACGACUGCUAAUACCGCAUAAGCCCACGGUGCCGCAUGGUACUGAGGGAAAAGGAUUUAUUCGCUUUAGGAUGGACUCGCGUCCAAUUAGCUAGUUGGUGAGGUAACGGCCCACCAAGCCGACGAUCGGUAGCCGACCUGAGAGGGUGACCGGCCACAUUGGGACUGAGACACGGCCCAAACUCC